UACGUAGGGUGCAAGCGUUAUCCGGAAUUAUUGGGCGUAAAGAGCUCGUAGGCGGUUUGUCGCGUCUGCUGUGAAAACCCGAGGCUCAACCUCGGGCCUGCAGUGGGUACGGGCAGACUAGAGUGCGGUAGGGGAGAUUGGAAUUCCUGGUGUAGCGGUGGAAUGCGCAGAUAUCAGGAGGAACACCGAUGGCGAAGGCAGAUCUCUGGGCCGUAACUGACGCUGAGGAGCGAAAAGCAUGGGGAGCGAACAGG
rnacentral:rRNA from 1 species